GGGGCCAUAGCUCAAUUGGUAGAGCUGUCGAGUUUAAUCGAAGGGUUCUGGGUUCAAAUCCUAGUGGCUCCACCA
rnacentral:tRNA from 1 species